GGUCAAGCUAGUAAGGGCACACAGUGGAUGCCUUGGUACCAACAGGCGAUGAAGGACGUGGUAAGCUGCGAAAAGCGUCGGAGAGUGGCAAACACGCGUUGAUCCGGCGAUUUCCGAAUGGGGAAACCCGGCUCCAGUUAUAUGGAGUCAUUGUUGUCUGAAUGCAUAGGGCAGCAAAGCGACACCCAGGGAAGUGAAACAUCUCAGUACCUGGAGGAGUAGAAAGAAACCUCGAUUCCCGUAGUAGUGGCGAGCGAACUGGGAACAGCCUAAACCACAGCACUUGUGUUGUGGGGUUGCGGGACCGCAACGUGGGAUCUGGGCGGAUAGUGGAAUGUUCUGGAAAGCUCAUCCAUAGAGGGUGAUAGGCCCGUACACGAAAUCCAAACAGACCUUAGCGGUAUCCCAAGUAAGGCGGGACACGUGAAACCCCGUUUGAAUCCGGGAGGCCCACCUCCCAAGGCUAAAUACUCGUUGGUGACCGAUAGUGAACCAGUACCGUGAGGGAAAGGUGAAAAGUACCCCUGUUAGGGGAGUGAAAUAGUACCUGAAACUGUGUGCUUACAAACUGUGGUAGUCUUGUCUUCGGACGAGAUGGCCGCAUGCCUUUUGCAUAAUGAGUCCGCGAGUUACCCUGUGUGGCAAGGUUAACCCCGUUCCGGGGGGAGCCGAAGCGAAAGCGAGUGUGAAUAGCGCGUCGAGUCGCACGGGGUAGACCCGAAACCGGGUGAGCUACCCAUGGCCAGGGUGAAGUUCCAGUAACAUGGAAUGGAGGCCCGAACCGUUACGUGUUGAAAAACGUUCGGAUGAGCUGUGGGUCGGAGUGAAAGGCUAACCAAACCCGGUGAUAGCUGGUUCUCCUCGAAAUAUCUUUAGGGAUAGCCUGCGUGAAUGCUCGGAAUGGAGGUAGAGCACUGAUUGGAUGAGGGCCCUUACCAGGGUACUGACGCCACUCAAACUCCGAAUGCCGUUCCAGUCACACGUGGAGUCACACUGCGGGGGAUAAGCUUCGUAGUGGAAAGGGAAACAGCCCAGACCGCCAGCUAAGGCCCCAAAAGCAUGCUCAGUGCGUAAGGAUGUGAAACUGCAAAGACAGCUAGGAUGUUGGCUUAGAGGCAGCCAUCAUUUAAACAAUGCGUAACAGCUGACUAGUCGAGUGGUUUUGCGCCGAAAAUGAACGGGACUAAGCAUACUGCCGAAGCUGCGGAUUUCCCGGCGUUUGCCGGGGAGUGGUAGAGGAGCGUUGUGUGCAGGUUGAAGCGCGAAGGAAACUGACCGUGGACAGCACACAAGUGAGAAUGCGGACAUGAGUAACGAUAAGGCCUGUGAGAAUCAGGCCCGCCGGAAUCCCAAGGUUUCCUGGGGAAGGUUCGUCCGCCCAGGGUUAGUCGGCCCCUAAGCAGAGGCCGAAAGGCGUACGCGAUGGGAAACAGGUUCAAUAUUCCUGUACCGGUACGUUGGCGUUUGAGCGAUGGAGGGACGCAGAAAGCUAGGUCAGCCACCCUUUGGUUUGGGUGGUCCAAGCCCGUAGGCAGUCCUGGUAGGAAAAUCCGCCGGGGCAAUGCUGAGAGGUGAUGGGACACAGCGUCUUCGGACAAAGUGGAUUGAUUGAUGCUACACUGCCGAGAAAAGCUUCUAAGCAAGUCAGCGAACCGACCGUACCGUAAACCGACACAGGUGGGAUGGUAGAGAAUACCAAGGCGCGCGAGAGAAACCUCGUUAAGGAACUCGGCAAAUUAGCCCCGUAUCUUCGGAAGAAGGGGUCCUCCCCGAUGUGACCUUAAUUCUAAGUGAGCAUUGAGGAGGCGCAGUGAAAGGGCCCUGGCGACUGUUUACCAAAAACAUAGCACUCUGCUAACUCGUAAGAGGACGUAUAGGGUGUGACACGUGACCAAUGCCGAAAGGUUAAGGUGAGUGGUUAUCCUGCUUCGGCAGGAGAAGCUUCGAGCUGAAGCCCCGGUGAAUGUCGGCCGUAACUAUAACGGUCCUAAGGUAGCGAAAUUCCUUGUCGGGUAAGUUCCGACCUGCACGAAUCGUGUAACGAUCAGGGCACUGUCUCAACGAGGAUCUCGGUGAAGUUGUAGCUCCGGUGAAAAUGCCGGAUACCCGCGAUAGGACGGAAAGACCCCGUGAACCUUUACUGUAAUCUGAUAUUGGAUCUUGGUUGGUCAUGUGUAGCAUAGCUGGGAGGCUUUGAAGCGUUGUCGUCAGGCAGCGUGGAGCCACAGGUGAAAUACCAGUCUUGAUUAAUCGUGAUUCUAACAGCGACCCGUGAAGCCGGGCGCUGAACAGUGUCAGAGGGUCAGUUUGACUGGGGCGGUUUCCUCCCAAAGUGUAACGGAGGAGUGCGAAGGUUCCCUCAGCAUGGUCGGCAAUCAUGCGUAGAGCAUAUAGGUAGAAGGGAGCUUGACUGCGAGACCUACAAGUCGAGCAGGUGCGAAAGCAGGCCUAAGUGAUCCGGUGGUCGCUCGUGGUAGCGCCAUCGCUCAACGGACAAAAGGUACUCCGGGGAUAACAGGCUGAUCGCCGCCAAGAGUCCACAUCGACGCGGCGGUUUGGCACCUCGAUGUCGGCUCAUCGCAUCCUGGGGCUGGAGAAGGUCCCAAGGGUUGGGCUGUUCGCCCAUUAAAGCGGUACGCGAGCUGGGUUCAGAACGUCGUGAGACAGUUCGGUCCUUAUCCAUCGUGGGCGCAGGAUAUUUGAGAAGGUCAUUCCUCAGUACGAGAGGACCGGGAAUGACGCACCACUGGUGUUCCAGUUGUCUUCCAAAGGCAUCGCUGGGUAGCUAUGUGCGGAACGGAUAAGCGCUGAAAGCAUCUAAGCGCCAAGCCUUCUUCAAGAUAAGAUAUCCCUUCCCGCUCUUCGGAGCGGGACUGUAGGCAGGUUGAAGACGACGACCUUGAUAGGCCGGGUGUGUACGUGUAGCGAUACAUGAGCUAACCGGUACUAAUCAGCCGUGAGGCUUGACCAU
rfam:Tncultured bacterium AD249-B8 genomic sequence.